rnacentral:misc_RNA from 1 species
UAAAAGUUUAGUUGAGUUGAGUUUAAUGUUUUUAUGGCACUUGAGAUUACAAGAACCACCUUUAAACACUCAGAUAUCUGUUGCUGAAAACAUAUGAGAACAACCUCUGAACAGUUUCCCUAAAUUAUAUAUGAUAAAAAACAGAAUCCACUAUUUUUGGUUUGUUAUUUUCCAUUUUUCCUUACAACAACCUUUGUCUCUG